rnacentral:lncRNA from 1 species
AAUAAAAGAGUAGAGUGUACCUCUCUUGAAUUGGUUGUCUAAUGAAAUGAAGUUUCCCUUAUUUACCCUCCAAAACAAUAAAAAGGUCAAGCCAUCACUUUAAUUAACAAAUAAUCACAAGAAAUGAAAAUAAACACGAAAUUGAAUCAAUCAAAGCAUUCAAAUGCAAGUAAACAACCCAUAUUCAACAAAUUAAACCAACAAGGACCCAAUUGAAAGAAUUAAAGAAAUUUGAGGGGUCAAAUCAUUAUUAUGACAAGUAUUAAGGGUCUAAAUUAAAAUAAAAUAAAAUUAUUGGCUUAAGAUGAAACCUACCAAAACCAAAUGCUAAAAUUCAUAAAAAAAAAUAAAAGAAAACCCAUUUGCUAUAAUUAAACAACAAAAUUACCCAAAAUUUCACUAAAAAUCCAAAUAAAAAAUUAUUAAACCUUCAAAUUUCAUCCUAAAAUUCACUAACAAGCUAUCCAAAAAUCACAUUAAAUCAUAUCAAAGGAAAUCAGCAUUUUCAAGGGACAAAAUUAGUUAAUUUUCCAAUUUUCUGGGCCAUAGUAACAUUAAGCCAAAAUUCGAGGGUCAAAGUGCAAUUUCCUGAAAUUAUUUCAUGCAGCCGCGAAGCUUUCUUCUUCUUCUUUGCUGGGUUUCUGCAAUUUUCUGGUUUUAACGGCUAUUUUCUCAAGUUUUUAGAUCCAAGUGCACGAUAUUAUGUACCCAAAUUACAGACAACAUCUAUCCCAACAUCAUGCCAUGAGAUUUAUCCAAUUAAAGUGACAGUCCAACAAACAGAUUGCACUUCACGGAAAGAGAAAAACAGCAAGAGAAAUGAAAAAACAACAAAGCCCAGGAACGAAGAAGCGAAUGAAAUUGAAAGGAUUCGGGUUAUUAUUUUAGAAGCAUACUUGAGAAGGCUUUUCUUUUGAAUCGAAAUCAAGAACGGAAAACACACGAAGGAGUUGUUUGGAGUUGAUUCGUUGCAGCUUCUGACAUGCAACAGGGAGAUGGGAUCAACCACUUCAAGGCCAAAUUCAAGGGUUCUCCUGAUGUUCUUUCCCCGAGAUCUUUGAACAGAAAUUGCUCUCCUGACGUCAGAGAGUAUGCAGAAAUCAACAGCUUGACGAAUAAUGCCAAGUUGAAAGAAAAAAUCUUCACUCAAGAAGGCUGGACAAUCAGCCUUAUCCCAAAAAAACGCAGCCUAAGCUUUUCUCUUUUUUCUUCUCUGUUUUCUUUUGCUCUCUUCCUUUUCAUUUUCUUUGUUGUUUUCCUCUCCAAUCCUCCCUUGUUCAGUUUUUCCUUGCCCUAAAACCCUCGUUUCUGGUUUAUCCUUUUCCUUCAACCUAGCUUUCUUUCAUUGUCCGAAACCCUUUUGCCUUUCCUUUUGGUUCCUGUUUCUUUUUGUUCCUCGUCCACUCUCCUCUCCUUUCUUUUUUGGUUGUUGUUUCUGAUCUCUCCUCUCUUGCUCGCUCAACCACCCUCUCUUUUCCUUUCUUUCUUGCUCUUCCCCCCUACCCGAAGCUCCUCCCUUGGUUUUUCCUCCUUUGCUUCAGCCCCGUAGCCUUUUUUCUUUCUCCUUCUUGCUCUCUGCCUUGCUAUUUUUCUGUUGUUUCCUCCCUUUUCUGGUUCCUCAGCCGCCACUCCUUUUCUUUUCCUUCCUUGGUUUUCUUUUCCUUGCUCAACCGACUCCCUCUCACAACCUUCCUUCCUUUCCUCGUACUCGAAGCUCUUCUUGCUUCCCUUCUUUUC